AACGUUCCUAAGAUAAUCUGAUGAUUUUUUUUUUUCUUAUUUAUUGGACUUAUAUGUUUUUUCAGCAGACACCUCAUGUAAAAAAUUCUCUAUUUAAGGAGAAAAAAGUCCUUUUUUCUGAUCUUUUUUUCUUGUUUUCAACAGAUCAGCUCAUUAACAAAACAAAUUUGAAUGAAAGUGGAUGGAAUCACAGGUUUUAAACUACCAUCAAAUGUUCUUAAGGUCAUUAAGUAAACAGAUUUGAAUGAAACUGGAUGGAGUCACAGGUUUUAAUGUACCAUCAAACGUUCCUAAGAUCAGGUCAUUAAGGAAACAGAUUUGAAUGAAACUGGAUGGAGUCACAGGUUUUAAACUACCAUCAAACAUUCUUAAGAACCGAUGCUGCACUUUGGACCAUCUGCUGCCUUGAGACGUCUCGAUCCCUUCAUUCCUUCCCUCUUUAACUCUUUCAACCCAUUACACAUAAUGGUUACCCUGCACUGUUGCUCUUCAUGAAGUUUCUCCACAUUUUUCCCGUAAAGGGUUUUUGUGGAGUUUUUCUUUUAUUGGCAUCUUGACAUGGUAAAUCACAAGCUUUGUCUGCAGCUCAGUAUUUGUCUCAGCUCCCCUAAAGGUGACCAGUGUUCCUCCAGAAAGCAACAGAACUUGAUAACAACAAUCAACCAUAAUAUCAAAGAAUCUUUAUUUUAAUCCUACAAUGAAUAAUAUAAUAAAUACAAUUGUACCUAAAUAUUAA